UUUAAGGCCUGAUGCAAUGUCUGCACAUGUCUGCACAUGUUUGCUUGGUGGGAUAAUUACCUGAAAGUAUUUGUGUUUACACGGCCGGCGCCAGCUUCUUCCUCCCUAUCGGCCAGGCGAGGUGGUCAGCGGGAAGGCAGUGGCAUCUCUUCUCCCAGUUCCUUGGAUGUUGGACCUUGAUUCUUUUGCUGAAACUUGAAUAUAGGCAACUAAACUACAUAUGCUUCUCUGAAAUAAUUCGUCAAGUUUAAUCUAUUUUUUGGUGAUUAAGUAAAUGGGAUUUUCUGAAUAUAUUGCUGAAGUGAUCAUUACUAAAUUAGGAUGGCAAGGAGGAGGUCAUCCAAGCAUGGUACAUGGAUGACAGUGAAGAAGUCCAACUGCUUCCUCAUCACCGCGAUGGUCACCGCCGGUCGCGGGCGUCGCGGUGCGAAGAGCAGGUGGGGCCGCAUCAGCCGUCGCCUUGGGUCGCUGCCGUCGUCGCGGCUCCUCCAUGCCAUGGUCGUUGCACAGCGCCAUGGAGCGCAUCUCCAACAAAUCGCGAAUCCGGGACAUGACGUGGAUCCGCUCCGUCGACGACCGGAGGCGACGGGCUCGCGCGGGGCAGAUCCGCAGCGGUGGCGACUGGAGGCGCCGGGCGUGGCCGAAGACGGGCCGGCGCGGGGCGGAUCCGCUCCGGCGAAUACCAGAGGCGAAGGGGCAAGGCGGCGGCCGCUCCAUCCUUCCCCACGUGCUGGUUGUGCUGAUUCCGGGCUGGAUAGGUCGGUGCUGGACCUCAAGGGCGUCUGCUCCAC